rnacentral:SRP_RNA from 2 species
UUGCCAUAAGAACAGCAACCUUGUAACCUGGUCAGGAUAGAGAUAUAGCAGCCACAUCAAGAAGUGCAGUGUCUUGUGGUCUUUU